GGCAUGCCGCCAGGCAGGGUCACGGGCCCGUUUUGCAGAGAAGGAAGUUCAGGGAUAAUGAGGCAGAAACAAGUGUUAACCUGAGUGCACAGCCCAGACCAGCCAUCCUCCCCCCUGGCCGGCUGCUCCUUCUUCUCUCCUGGGCCCCCAGCGGCCACUCUCACCCUGCCACACCUCGCUUACAAUCUGCCCAUGGCUUCCUACUUAACGGGGAUCCAAUUCAAACUCUUGGCUGAGCCAGAAAAAGCCGUUAGUGAUGUUUCUUCCUCCCAUGGGACUGCGUCUCGGCCCCUCUCCCACUCAGGACCGGACACUGAGGGUGUCUCACCCAUCCCACCUUAGCUCCGACCGGGGUCUGUGCCGCACUCGACCCGCGAUGCCCAGCCUCGCACUGUGCCUGCCACACGGUGGGGGCCGCAUGGCUGAAUGAAUGAGUGAGUGAACGAGUGGCCACGGUCUCGCCAUGGUCUCACCACAGUCCGAGCAGCCAGAACUUGUUUUUAUCAGUAGUUCAAGACAACUAUUUGCAAAUCCCUACAGACUUCAUUUAAAAACGUAGCUGGAGUACAAGAAUGGCACAAGGAACACGGGGAAAAUUGGCAUUAUUCCACAGUUUAUUUAAUUCGCUCCCCCUGCUGGCAUUAAUUUAACUCGUCUGCAUGGCUGAAGGAAGGACCGAGAUGAAAUAUUAACCUCAAAGGCGCGCUGGGACAGAUAACGGAGCGGCGCCUGCGAGCGCGAGCGGGCAGAUGAAAGAGGAAGGCGCUGCCGCGGCCCCAGGAAGAUUAAGGCGGCGUGCGGGGUAACAGGAGCCUUUUUCUAAUGGUUCAUUUUCUUUCUCUUUAGUCCAAAGUGAUAAAAGCAAAUAAAUUUGUGUUUAGAAUCACAA